GGGAAUAUUGCACAAUGGGGGAAACCCUGAUGCAGCAACGCCGCGUGGGUGAAGGAGCGUUUCGGCGCGUAAAGCCCUGUCAGCGGGGAAGAAGAAAGACGGUACCCGACCAAGAAGCCCCGGCUAACUACGUGCCAGCAGCCGCGGUAAUACGUAGGGGGCAAGCGUUAUCCGGAAUCACUGGGUGUAAAGGGAGCGUAGACGGCUGAGCAAGCCUGAAGUGAAAGGCGGGGGCCCAACCCCUGGACUGCUUUGGGAACUGUACGGCUGGAGUGCAGGAGAGGUAAGUGGAAUUCCUAGUGUAGCGGUGAAAUGCGUAGAUAUUAGGAGGAACACCAGUGGCGAAGGCGGCUUACUGGACUGUAACUGACGUUGAGGCUCGAAAGCGUGGGGAGCAAACAG
rnacentral:rRNA from 1 species